GACGAACGCUGGCGGCAUGCCUAAUACAUGCAAGUCGAGCGCUAACGGUUGGUACUUCUACCGACCGUUUGACCAGCGAACGGGUAAGUAACGCUUACGGGAACUGCCCUUUAGCAGGGCACAGCGAUAGGAAACGGAUGCUAAUACCACAUCAAAAUUUUAAACACAAGCGUCAAGAUUGAAAGAGGCAAUUGCAACACUUAAAGAUGAUCCCGCGUUGUAUUAGCUAGGUGGUGAGGUAAAGGCCCACCAAGGCGAAGAUACAUAACCGACCUGAGAAGGUGAUCGACCACAUCGGGACUGGGACACGGCCCCAGCCCAUACGGGAGGCAGCAGUAGGGGAUCUUCGGAUAUGGACGAAAGUCUGACCGAGCAACGCCGCGUGAGUGAAGAAGGUUUUCGGAUUGUAAAACUCUGUUGGUUGAGAAGAACGUUGGUGGGAGUGGAAAGCUCAUCAAUUGACGGUAACUACCCAGAAAGGGACGGCUAACUACGUG
rnacentral:rRNA from 1 species